rnacentral:rRNA from 1 species
GGUUAAGCGACUAAGCGUACACGGUGGAUGCCCUGGCAGUCAGAGGCGAUGAAGGACGUGCUAAUCUGCGAUAAGCGUCGGUAAGGUGAUAUGAACCGUUAUAACCGGCGAUUUCCGAAUGGGGAAACCCAGUGUGAUUCGUCACACUAUCAUUAACUGAAUCCAUAGGUUAAUGAGGCGAACCGGGGGAACUGAAACAUCUAAGUACCCCGAGGAAAAGAAAUCAACCGAGAUUCCCCCAGUAGCGGCGAGCGAACGGGGAGCAGCCCAGAGCCUGAAUCAGUGUGUGUGUUAGUGGAAGCGUCUGGAAAGGCGCGCGAUACAGGGUGACAGCCCCGUACACAAAAAUGCACAUGCUGUGAGCUCGAUGAGUAGGGCGGGACACGUGGUAUCCUGUCUGAAUAUGGGGGGACCAUCCUCCAAGGCUAAAUACUCCUGACUGACCGAUAGUGAACCAGUACCGUGAGGGAAAGGCGAAAAGAACCCCGGCGAGGGGAGUGAAAAAGAACCUGAAACCGUGUACGUACAAGCAGUGGGAGCACGCUUAGGCGUGUGACUGCGUACCUUUUGUAUAAUGGGUCAGCGACUUAUAUUCUGUAGCAAGGUUAACCGAAUAGGGGAGCCGAAGGGAAACCGAGUCUUAACUGGGCGUUAAGUUGCAGGGUAUAGACCCGAAACCCGGUGAUCUAGCCAUGGGCAGGUUGAAGGUUGGGUAACACUAACUGGAGGACCGAACCGACUAAUGUUGAAAAAUUAGCGGAUGACUUGUGGCUGGGGGUGAAAGGCCAAUCAAACCGGGAGAUAGCUGGUUCUCCCCGAAAGCUAUUUAGGUAGCGCCUCGUGAAUUCAUCUCCGGGGGUAGAGCACUGUUUCGGCAAGGGGGUCAUCCCGACUUACCAACCCGAUGCAAACUGCGAAUACCGGAGAAUGUUAUCACGGGAGACACACGGCGGGUGCUAACGUCCGUCGUGAAGAGGGAAACAACCCAGACCGCCAGCUAAGGUCCCAAAGUCAUGGUUAAGUGGGAAACGAUGUGGGAAGGCCCAGACAGCCAGGAUGUUGGCUUAGAAGCAGCCAUCAUUUAAAGAAAGCGUAAUAGCUCACUGGUCGAGUCGGCCUGCGCGGAAGAUGUAACGGGGCUAAACCAUGCACCGAAGCUGCGGCAGCGACGCUUAUGCGUUGUUGGGUAGGGGAGCGUUCUGUAAGCCUGCGAAGGUGUGCUGUGAGGCAUGCUGGAGGUAUCAGAAGUGCGAAUGCUGACAUAAGUAACGAUAAAGCGGGUGAAAAGCCCGCUCGCCGGAAGACCAAGGGUUCCUGUCCAACGUUAAUCGGGGCAGGGUGAGUCGACCCCUAAGGCGAGGCCGAAAGGCGUAGUCGAUGGGAAACAGGUUAAUAUUCCUGUACUUGGUGUUACUGCGAAGGGGGGACGGAGAAGGCUAUGUUGGCCGGGCGACGGUUGUCCCGGUUUAAGCGUGUAGGCUGGUUUUCCAGGCAAAUCCGGAAAAUCAAGGCUGAGGCGUGAUGACGAGGCACUACGGUGCUGAAGCAACAAAUGCCCUGCUUCCAGGAAAAGCCUCUAAGCAUCAGGUAACAUCAAAUCGUACCCCAAACCGACACAGGUGGUCAGGUAGAGAAUACCAAGGCGCUUGAGAGAACUCGGGUGAAGGAACUAGGCAAAAUGGUGCCGUAACUUCGGGAGAAGGCACGCUGAUAUGUAGGUGAAGUCCCUCGCGGAUGGAGCUGAAAUCAGUCGAAGAUACCAGCUGGCUGCAACUGUUUAUUAAAAACACAGCACUGUGCAAACACGAAAGUGGACGUAUACGGUGUGACGCCUGCCCGGUGCCGGAAGGUUAAUUGAUGGGGUUAGCGCAAGCGAAGCUCUUGAUCGAAGCCCCGGUAAACGGCGGCCGUAACUAUAACGGUCCUAAGGUAGCGAAAUUCCUUGUCGGGUAAGUUCCGACCUGCACGAAUGGCGUAAUGAUGGCCAGGCUGUCUCCACCCGAGACUCAGUGAAAUUGAACUCGCUGUGAAGAUGCAGUGUACCCGCGGCAAGACGGAAAGACCCCGUGAACCUUUACUAUAGCUUGACACUGAACAUUGAGCCUUGAUGUGUAGGAUAGGUGGGAGGCUUUGAAGUGUGGACGCCAGUCUGCAUGGAGCCGACCUUGAAAUACCACCCUUUAAUGUUUGAUGUUCUAACGUUGACCCGUAAUCCGGGUUGCGGACAGUGUCUGGUGGGUAGUUUGACUGGGGCGGUCUCCUCCUAAAGAGUAACGGAGGAGCACGAAGGUUGGCUAAUCCUGGUCGGACAUCAGGAGGUUAGUGCAAUGGCAUAAGCCAGCUUGACUGCGAGCGUGACGGCGCGAGCAGGUGCGAAAGCAGGUCAUAGUGAUCCGGUGGUUCUGAAUGGAAGGGCCAUCGCUCAACGGAUAAAAGGUACUCCGGGGAUAACAGGCUGAUACCGCCCAAGAGUUCAUAUCGACGGCGGUGUUUGGCACCUCGAUGUCGGCUCAUCACAUCCUGGGGCUGAAGUAGGUCCCAAGGGUAUGGCUGUUCGCCAUUUAAAGUGGUACGCGAGCUGGGUUUAGAACGUCGUGAGACAGUUCGGUCCCUAUCUGCCGUGGGCGCUGGAGAACUGAGGGGGGCUGCUCCUAGUACGAGAGGACCGGAGUGGACGCAUCACUGGUGUUCGGGUUGUCAUGCCAAUGGCACUGCCCGGUAGCUAAAUGCGGAAGAGAUAAGUGCUGAAAGCAUCUAAGCACGAAACUUGCCCCGAGAUGAGUUCUCCCUGACCCUUUAAGGGUCCUGAAGGAACGUUGAAGACGACGACGUUGAUAGGCCGGGUGUGUAAGCGCAGCGAUGCGUUGAGCUAACCGGUACUAAUGAACCGUGAGGCUUAACCUU